AGAGUUUGAUCAUGGCUCAGAUUGAACGCUGGCGGCAUGCGUAACACAUGCAAGUCGAACGGUGUUUGGUGCUUGCACCAGACAUAGUGGCGGACGGGUGAGUAAUGCGUAGGAAUCUGUCUUAGAGAGGGGGACAACCCGAGGAAACUUGGGCUAAAACCGCAUAUUCUCGAGAGAGGAAAGCAGGGGACCGGAAACGGCCUUGUGCUCUAAGGUGAGCCUACGUCGGAUUAGCUAGUUGGUAGGGUAAAAGCCUACCAAGGCGAUGACCUGUAGCUGGUCUGAGAGGACGGACAGCCACACUGGGACUGAGACACGGCCCAGACUCCUACGGGAGGCAGCAGUGGGGAAUAUUGGACAAUGGGGGGAACCCUGAUCCAGCGAUGCCGCGUGUGUGAAGAAGGCCUGCGGGUUGUAAAGCACUUUCAGUGGGAAAGAGAAGCGUCUUGUGAAUAAUGGGACGUGGAGACGUUACUCACAGAAGAAGCACCGGCUAACUCUGUG
rnacentral:rRNA from 1 species